rnacentral:lncRNA from 1 species
UUGUAGAACGAGUAAAGGAUAAAAAUCGUAAGGUUUUUCGCGCGCAAUACGAGCGAAGACACGUGAUGUCGGUGACAGAGGAGGAAGAGAAGGAGGAGAAAGAGGGGAAGGAGGUAGGUGGUAAUGGUGCGAUGGUGCGAUGGUGCGGUGGUGAGGUGGGUGACGAAAAAGGCAAGUAAAUGUGCCGGAUACUCUCAUCCAUACGUGUUGGUCGACAUUCAACAAGUGACUGACACUGAUGUCGCCCGAACGAUAUCCUACGUCCUUUGCCCUGCAAGGGUGAAAGUGGGAUGCAGCGAGGGGUAGCAUUAUUGCCGGCACCGGCCGAGCCGAGUAUCGGAAAGCUCCUGGGGCGGAACUUUCCUUUACCCUUCGCAAAAUGUUCCGAAGGCCGAAAAUAUUGAAGGAAGGGAAGAAACGAACCUCCUCGUUCGUACGAAAAGAAAAUGGGUUCUCUCUCUUAUGAGAGAGCAAAAAAGAUAGAGAACAUUCCCCGUGUGAAGGCAUAAGCGCGUAAAUAUCAACGCGGACGAAGAGUCACGGAACGCAGGAAUGGAAAGAAGGAAUGAACGGACCGGUCUUACUGUCUGUUCUUUCUCUCUCUCACUUCUUCUCUCUCAUCUCUAUAUGAUCUUGCCUUGCGUUCUUGAAGGAAAAGAAAAAGACGGAGUCGAAGAAAUCUAACGCAACGGAGCUAAGAGCAAGCAAGUAAGCAAGCAAGCAAGCAAGCAAGCAAGAAAGAAAGAAAGAAAGAAAGAAGGUAAGAAAGAAAGAUAGGAGAGGGCCGAGGAGGGGCCGUCAUAAUUCCUUGAAUUGAACGGCGGUUUAUUCUCCACCAAGGUUACCAACAAGGAGGAUGGACAGAGGCAGGCGAACAGGCAGGCAAGCAGCAGGCAGGCAGGCAGGCAGGCAAGAGAGUUGGCAGGCACAGGUAGGAAAGCAAGCAAGUAAGCAGGCAAGCAAGCUGGCUGGUUGGCUGGCUGGCUGUGGCUGAUGGAGAGGCGCCGACGAGGAGAAGAGAGAGAAAAAGAGAUGAAAGAGAAGGAGGAGGAUGAAGGCUGGACGAGAGGGGGAGAAAGGCGAGGGGAUCGAUAGAACGACAAGGACGGCGUACGGGUAUAUAGUUAUACAGAUAGCAUGCUACGGCAGCAUCGGCUGUCGUCGAAUGACGGCAAGGAGGAAAGAAGGGUAGGAAGAGGGUGAAAGGAGAGGAGAGAGGGGAGCCUGGGAGCGUUUCGAGGCGUCCCUGGAUGGCGGCACCACCGUCGACCUUAACGUAUAGAUACAUGCGAUGAAACUAGCGCCGUUGGUGUGGGUGUUAAGAUUACUGGUGGUAGUAGGUAAUAGUGGUAGUGUAGAGUAGCGGGAUGGCGUGGUCUAGUAGUGGUAGUAUAUGUAGUAUCAUCGGGGCACAGCGGCAGCAAUACUGCUUGGGUGGGGAUAACGUCAGACUGACGGACUCGUGGGAAAGAGAGAGGAGAGGAAACGAGGAAACGAGCAAGCGAGACAGCCAGAAUAGAGAGAGAGAAAGACAGAGAGAACGCGCGCGCACGAGGCUCGACAAGGAAGGAGAUUGGUCGAGGCGGUGGCGACGAUGCGACUGCCGUAGAGGUGGGAGAAGGCUGGCGCGAUCGGAUCGCGCAUAUUUUCAGAACAACAUGGAGGAGCCUGAAAUUGACGAUCUCUAAAACGGUCAGUGCUUUGAAAUAAAAAAGAAAAAAGAAAAAUAAAGGGAGUUUCCAUGGUAUACAUGCAUAUAUACAUACAUACGGGCAAAACGAAUCCCUUCGAGUUCGAACAGCGUUUGAAUUUACCGCUGAUUGCCGUAAAGAGAGAGAAACAGAGAGAGAGAGAGA